rnacentral:rRNA from 1 species
AGAGUUUGAUCAUGGCUCAGGAUGAACGCUAGCUACAGGCUUAACACAUGCAAGUCGAGGGGCAGCAUCAUCAAAGCUUGCUUUGAUGGAUGGCGACCGGCGCACGGGUGGGUAACACGUAUCCAACCUGCCGACAACUCUGGGAUAGCCUUUCGAAAGAAAGAUUAAUACCGGAUGGUAUAAUUAUUCCGCAUGGGAUUAUUAUUAAAGAAUUUCGGUUGUCGAUGGGGAUGCGUUCCAUUAGGCAGUUGGCGGGGUAACGGCCCACCAAACCUACGAUGGAUAGGGGUUCUGAGAGGAAGGUCCCCCACAUUGGAACUGAGACACGGUCCAAACUCCUACGGGAGGCAGCAGUGAGGAAUAUUGGUCAAUGGACGAGAGUCUGAACCAGCCAAGUAGCGUGAAGGAUGACUGCCCUAUGGGUUGUAAACUUCUUUUAUACGGGAAUAAAGUGAGCCACGUGUGGCUUUUUGUAUGUACCGUAUGAAUAAGGAUCGGCUAACUCCGUGCCAGCAGCCGCGGUAAUACGGAGGAUCCGAGCGUUAUCCGGAUUUAUUGGGUUUAAAGGGAGCGUAGCGGUGUUAAGUCAGUUGUGAAAGUUUGCGGCUCACCGUAAAAUUGCAGUUGAUACUG